GUUAAACUAUUAACCAAUUGACUGUAAUACAAGUAUAUGUAUUAAUAUUAUUCAAAUAUUUAUCUCCAAAUCAUCUUCAGGGAAUAUGUUUUGAGAACAUCCCUUGUUUGAUAACCAAGAUUCUAAACAUUGGCUGAGUUAUUUUAGUGCUGAUCACUAUUACUGGAACUUUUUUUCUCACUUAGUUAUUUUAGUAUUACCUUAAUAGAGACUCUCACUUUUCCUAGAUCUGAUAGUUCCUCCUUUGUUUGAGAUAUUAUCUUAUUGCACUUUAAUAAUAGCUAUACUCUAGACAAUCUCUUUAAAAUAAAAUAUGCUCUCCACCUUGGUAUUUUUGAUUUACCGUUGUUGUUACUAUUAUAAUUUCUACUACGACUACAGUUACUACUACUCUUGCUGAGGCGUCACUGCAGUGAAGCAGGAGGCUGCCAAUCCCACCUAUGGAUGCUAAGAUGUGUAAUUCUGUAUGCAACCUGAUUUCCUUCCCUGGCCACAUAUAUUCUUUUUAUUGGAAUUUGGGACCUGAAUUCAGGCAUACAUUUAUUCCAUAUGAGUACAGAUUCUGUAAGAUAACAGGGACUCAUGGCUUGGGGAUGCCUUUUUGGAACAGCCAUCACUACAAAGUGGACAGUUUCUCAGAGAACUACAAAGAUAAACAAUUAUGCUGACCACAAAAAGAAGAUCAAGUGAGUAGUGGACUAAACAAAUCUAAAGUUCCAGUGAGUACUGACAUUUCAUUUCAUCUAUGAAAGAUGCUGCUGUCUUCACUAACAAAGACUGUAUCCUGUGUUUUUUCCUUGUUUUAACUUAAAUUACUUUGCACUGGUUUCUGUUUCUUGAGGUUAAAUAUGCCUUAAGACUACACUUAAUUGGGCUUAAUUAUACUUUUAUAAUUUCUGAGUUAAUUGGUUGACUCUUGGUUAAAUUUCUAUUUUCUUUAAAAAUUUUCAAAUCUUUAUCAAUAGUUUGUUUUCACAAGGGACUUUUGGGGUUCAUUAAACUGUUCUAUAUCUUGAUUACAGUAGUGGUUAUGUAAUUCUAUGCAUUUGUCUAAAUUUAUAGAACUGUAUGCUAAAAAGAGUUAAUUUUACUGUAUGUAAAUUUAAUUUUUUUUUUUUUUUGAGAUGGAUUAUCACUCUUUUGCCUAGGCUGGAGUGCAGUGAUGCAAUCUCGGCUCACCACAACCUUCUGUCUCCCGGGUUCAAGCAAUUCUCUUGCCUCAGUCUCCCAAGUAGCUGGGACUACAGGCGCGCACACCAUGCCAGGCUAAUUUUUGUAUUUUUAGUAGAGACUGGGUUUCACUAUUUGGCCAAACUAGUCUCGAACUCCUAACCUCAUGAUCUGCCUGCUUCCGCCUCCCAAAGUUGUAAAUCCCAAAGGAAUUACAGGCGUGAGCCAUCGUGAAAGUAUUCUUAAAGUAUGCUUUUUAAAAGGAUAUUGAAUAUGCUAUCAUAUAAUUUUGAUGUCUCUAUCAGAUAUCUGAUAAAUCAAGGAAAUAUGAAAUCAGAAUUAUCAAUAUAAUUAUCACUUUUUUGUUUUAGAAUAUGAGCUUCAUGAAAACAUGGCAUUGUCUUGCUUUAUGCUUUGCCCUGAUACUUAGCUCAUUAUAGGCACUCAAGAAAUGUCAUUGACUUAAUAAAUUAAUUAAUUCUUGAACAUUAUAGGAUAUGUAAUAAUGGCUAUCAUAUAUUAAAGGCCCAAUUUCAUCAAUCAAAAUACCAAAUACACUUUUGAAGAAUAUAUACAAUUUUUUGUACCACAUAUUUUAAACUAUAAAGACACACAGUAGGUACCAAUAUCAGUUUCCAUUUAUUUAUUUUUGGACCUUUAAGAUUCUGACCAUAUCGUCUCUCUCAAAACCCUGGCCUCAGACGAUCCACCGGCCUUGGCCUCCCAGAGUGUUGGGACUGCAGGUGUGAGCAACCGUGCCUGGCUGUCAUGUAAAACUAAAAAAAAAAAGAUUCUGUCCACAAUUCUUCACAAUGUGGCUUAGAAAAUCACUCUUAUCCAGUAUGUACUUUCUUGUCAGCAUACUUUCCUUGUUAUUCAUUCAGCACAUGCUAACUAGUUUCUAACUUUGCAUCAGGUAAUGCACUGGUCCCAUAGGAUAUGGAAUACAAUGGAAUGUCAAGUUCAUGCUUCAGAAAUCUCGAUACAUGUUGAAUAAGGUUCCAUUGUCUGGACGUGCCACAGUUUAUGUAUCUAUUCUCUUACUGAGGGACUCCUUGGUUGCUUCCAAGUUUUGGCAAUUGUGAAUAAAGCUGCAUCUUUAAAGUUUUUUGAGACAGGGUCUCACUCAGUCACCCAGACUGGAGUGCAGUGGCUAGAUCAUGGCUUGCUGCAGCCUCCUUGACCUCCCAGGCUCAAGACAGCCUCCCACCUUACCCUUCCAAGUAGCUGGGACCACAGGUGAGAGGAUAAUUAUACACCAGGCUUGGAUAAUUUUUUUAAAAAACUUUUUGUAGAGAUGGUAUAUCCCUAUGUAGUUCAGGUUGGUCUCGACUCCUGGGCUCAAGUGAUUCUCCCAUCUCAGCCUCUUGAAAUGCUGGGAUUACAGGAGUGAGCCACUGUACCCAGCCAAGAAAUUUUAUCUAGAGAAACGUGAAAUACAAAAGCGGAGCCUUAUCUAAAAUAUGCAGUAUUGUUAUAUAUAAAUCUAUUAUACGUUAUAUAAAAAUUCAGUAUUAUUAGUGCUCUUUAUUAUGCUUAUUAAAAUGACUGACAGUUUUUAUAUGUAGAAAUUUGAUUUAAUGUAAUUAUUAACCUUUUAUUAGCUUCAG